AUCAGCCGCCGGGCAGCGUCUGUUUCCAUUCCGUUAGGCCUUAGAAGGGAUGGAUGACAGGCGUUUAUUUU
rnacentral:ncRNA from 1 species